rnacentral:rRNA from 1 species
UACACUCCUACGGGAGGCAGCAGUGGGGAAUUUUGGACAAUGGGCGAAAGCCUGAUCCAGCAAUGCCGCGUGUGUGAAGAAGGCCUUCGGGUUGUAAAGCACUUUUGUCCGGAAAGAAAUCCUUGGCUCUAAUACAGUCGGGGGAUGACGGUACCGGAAGAAUAAGCACCGGCUAACUACGUGCCAGCAGCCGCGGUAAUACGUAGGGUGCGAGCGUUAAUCGGAAUUACUGGGCGUAAAGCGUGCGCAGGCGGUUUGCUAAGACCGAUGUGAAAUCCCCGGGCUCAACCUGGGAACUGCAUUGGCGACUGGCAGGCUAGAGUAUGGCAGAGGGGGGUAGAAUUCCACGUGUAGCAGUGAAAUGCGUAGAGAUGUGGAGGAAUACCGAUGGCGAAGGCAGCCCCCUGGGCCAAUACUGACGCUCAUGCACGAAAGCGUGGGGAGCAAACAGGAUUAGAUACCCGAGUAGUCCCAUGAU